rnacentral:rRNA from 1 species
AAGACCUUGCGCUUUUGGAGCGGCCGAUGUCUGAUUAGCUUGUUGGUGAGGUAAAAGCUUACCAAGGCUUCGAUCAGUAGCUGGUCUGAGAGGACGGCCAGCCACACUGGGACUGAGACACGGCCCAGACUCCUACGGGAGGCAGCAGUGGGGAAUUUUGGACAAUGGGGGCAACCCUGAUCCAGCCAUGCCGCGUGAGUGAAGAAGGCCUUCGGGUUGUAAAGCUCUUUCAGCCGGAACGAAACGGUUACGGUUAAUACCCGUGAUUACUGACGGUACCGGAAGAAGAAGCACCGGCUAACUACGUGCCAGCAGCCGCGGUAAUACGUAGGGUGCGAGCGUUAAUCGGAAUUACUGGGCGUAAAGCGUGCGCAGGUGGUUUUGUAAGUCAGAUGUGAAAUCCCCGGGCUUAACCUGGGAACU